AAUGGCCGCAAGGCUGAUCCAGCCAUGCCGCGUGCAGGAUGACGGUGCUCUGCAUUGUAAACUGCUUUUGUUCGGGAAUAAACCCUUUCACGUGUGAGAGGUUGAAUGUACCGAAAGAAUAAGGGACGGCUAACUUCGUGCCAGCAGCCGCGGUAAUACGAAGGUCCCAAGCGUUAUCCGGAUUUAUUGGGUUUAAAGGGUGCGUAGGCGGGCUAUUAAGUCAGUGGUGAAAGCUCUCAGCUUAACUGGGAAACUGCCAUUGAUACUGAUAGUCUUGAGUAUGAUUGAAGUGGGCGGAAUGUGUCAUGUAGCGGUGAAAUGCUUAGAUAUGACACAGAACACCGAUUGCGAAGGCAGCUCACUAAGCCAUAACUGACGCUGAUGCACGAAAGCGUGGGGAGCAAA
rnacentral:rRNA from 1 species